rnacentral:rRNA from 1 species
CGGAGAAGGCUAGGCCAGCUUGGCGUUGGUUGUCCAAGUUUAAGGUGGUAGGCUGAAAUCUUAGGUAAAUCCGGGGUUUCAAGGCCGAGAGCUGAUGACGAGUCGUCUUUUAGAUGACGAAGUGGUUGAUGCCAUGCUUCCAAGAAAAGCUUCUAAGCUUCAGGUAACCAGGAACCGUACCCCAAACCGACACAGGUGGU